UGCUUCUCUGUAGCAGAGGCGCCCCCAGGACAUUCUGGGACUGCUGCCCCCUGCUCAGCCACCUCCUUCCCUAGUCCGGGUGGAACCGCUGUGUGGUUUUCUUUCGUAAGCAAACUCCGAACAAGGGCUGAUGUCUCUGGUCGUUGGCCUUUCUUUUCCUUCCAUCAUGGUUUUGUGGGUUGCUGGCUAUUUUAGGGACCGAGUUUGGAGUGGAGCCUCCUUGCUCUGCAGCUCCCUUGGAAGACUCGAUGGCUUCUCAGCCCCCAGCAGAAGGGGGCAGCCCCAAUGUCAUCCGCGUGUGUUCCGCACAGGGCGAGGGCUUAGGGAGGCCCCGAGGAAUGGCUCUAGGGGCUGGUGGGUUUGGUGGUUAGCUCUGCUGUCAGAGCCAGGCUCAGGUGGGUCCCAUUGCACACCUGGCACAGCAUGGGGGAUCCUCUGGCCGCUGCCCGGGGCAGGCUUCCCGACCUCAUCUCAUUAUUGAGCGCUGGGGCCAGGCAGUGCUUCUCAUACUUGGGUGUCCUUGUGAACCACACAGGGAGCCUGUUAGCAGCGCAGACUCCAGGGCCCCUCGGUUGACCUAGGGGUCCUGGGGUCAGCGUUGUUAAUAAGUGCGUGUGAUUGCGAUGUUGGGGGUUCCAGGGCCGUGCUGCCGGUGGCCGAUAGGUAAAGCAGCGUGAUGAGUGGAGUCAGGGGGGCAGGGAGAAAGAAGGGGCUCUAACCCAGGGAGGGGCUGCGGUCACCCCGAAAAGGUGAGCUGAGUCUUGACACAGAGCAGGGCAAAGUAAUGAUCGCUAACUCUGAUUGAAUGCUUGGUGCCAGGCACAGCUCUAAGCCUUUAUGGGAAUGGACUCAUUUGUUUUUCCAUAUGUCCCCUCUUUUUUGGAUUCCCUUCCCAUUUAGGUCACCACAGAGCACUGAGUAGAGUUCCCUGUGCUAUACAGUAGGUUCUCAUUAGUUAUCUCUUUUAUACGCAGUAGUGUAUAUAUGUCAAUCCCAAUCUCCCAAUUCACCCCCCGCCUGGGUAUCCAUACAUUUGUUCUCUACAUCUGUGUCUCUGUUUGUUUCUGCUUUGCAAAUAGGUCAUCUGUACCAUUUUUCUAGAGUCCACAUAUAUGCGUUAAUAUACGAUAUUUGUUUUUCUGUUUCUGACUUCACUCUGUAUGACAGACUCUAGGUCCAUCCACGUCUCUACAAAUGACCCAGUUUCGUUCCUUUUUAUGGCUGGGUAAUAUUCCAUUGUAUAUAUGUGCCACAUCUUCUUUAUCCAGGAAUGGACUCAUUUACUUCUCCCAGCAACCCCACGAAAUAGGUAGUUACCAUGAUCUUGGAGCACAGAGGGGUUAAGGAGCUUGCCCAAGGUUCUUGGCUAGUCGGUGGUGAACUGGGUCUCACCCUCCUCUGUUCCACUGCAUUGGGGCACCCCGGGCAGCAAGACCCGCUCACGCAGAGGCUGUGCAGACCAGGGCUGGGGCUUCUUAGGAGGCGGUCAUGGCGCUGAAUGGUUCAGACAGCGCAGCUCGUAGUGUGUGGGGACAGUUUGGGUUUUGCUGGUGGAGUAUACGGCCGUGAUCUUGGUUAGGGCAGAAGGUUGCAGCAAGGUGACAGCUGCUGUAACAUAGCUUUGAGGGGGCUGAGGCUGUAGUCGGGCAGCCGGGGUUCUGGGCACACGUGCUCUUUGUCUGAACAAGGCAGGACCCCAGGGUCUGGGGAGAGGGUGCAGCGUUAGUGCCCAGGGAGCAGCAAGGCCUGUGCCCUCACACCUGUCCCAGUUGCCCUCUGAGAAGGAAGAAUUCUCCAUGGUCUGAGUCCUUGGAGACUCCCAGGGAGCCUGGCCCAGCUCUUGGGGUCUGAGGGCAAGGGGGAAACUGCUUGGACAGGGGAAGACAUUUUUGUUGGGAGCCGCCCAAGCGCUCUGUAUGCUUCCUUCAGUCCCCGCGUCGCCUGCAAAGGGGGCUGCUUAUUCCUAUGUACUGAUGUGCAAGCGGAGGCACAGAGAAGCAAAGUAACUUAGACACCGUCACACAGCAAGUAAGCAGGUAGUGGCACCAGGUCUGUCUUCUGUGGGAUGCGCUUUUCACCGCAGCGGGGUCCCCCUCGUUCUGAGAGGCCACAUGUCCGGCACACACGGCAGGACUGGUGACCAGGACCCCUCCCUGAGGAGUGGGUGCAGUGGCAGGGUGGGUGGGGCGGGCUCCCAGCAGCCAGCUGGGCAGAUUCCAGCUGAGCUGGGGCCCUGGGUGGGAUGGCCUCGCUUCAGGGGACGGGUUACCGGCCGAUGGGUGGCAUUCCGAGGAGUCAGAGGCCCAGGGUCUGUGGGAGUGGCCUGCUGGGGCCUUCCUGGUGGGGGGGCGGGGCGCUGAUGCUCGGAGCUGAGCCUCUGCCACCCUGGAGGCUCACCUGAGUCUGGGGGCACGAGGGAUCCCUCAUAAAGGAGGACCUGAAACCAAGCUCUGAUUCCAGAGCCCCUUUCUUCCUCCUGUCAGAAGGAAAAUCGGCCACCGGCCCCUCCUGGCUGCUUUCUGGCUAUCCCCUCACCCUAGCCCCAGUCUCUUCCAGCAGAGCGGGCAGCUCGCUGAUUUGAACCUGAACGCCAUCGGGACAAACCAGAAGCCCGCACUGCUCUUUGCCCACGACAGGCUGUUUGCGGGCAGGGGGUGGGGAGUCGCUACUAUUCCUGCGUCACGACAGGCCUGUGACCGUCACUCAGCCUCUCGAGCUCAGUACCUGCAAGACGGGUCCACGCCCCGCAUGUGAAGACGAGGGCCAGAUGGCCCUUCCUCCGGGUCUUCCUGCUUUGCCUAGUUCUUGGGGCCCCUCGCCACUUGGGAUUCCACCGGGAUUCUAGCCCCCGGCUCCCUGCGGGCAGAGGCUGGCCACUCCUGGGCGUGCCUCGGGGUACGGGGCGGGGGGGGGCAGUGAAGCCGGCCACAGGCCGAGCACUGGGGAGAAUCAUGCCACCGCGGAGACCCCGCAGCUACCCCACCUGCCACAGAGCUUCCCGUGGGCCACCGUCUCCUCCUCGGCUCACCUGGGCCAGCCGGUCGACGCCUUACUCACCUGGAGAGUGCUCAAGGACAGCAAGAAAAAUGAGGGACUUUCAGGGGCAGCUGUGUUUUCUGACUCAGUCAUAAUGCCCCUAAAAAUCCUUCUUGUUCUUGCAGUGUGCGUCAGGCAGUGGCCCCAGCCCACCCGGCUGCUCUGGGAUAGGAAGGGCUACCUGGGGUUCGACUGGCGUGUCCCUCUCCGUCGUCCUGAAAUGAGAGUGAAGGGGAACUUACUGAUUAUUAAAACAUUUUGUUGGUCGGUGCCUUGAUUUGCAUGUACUUUUUUUUUUUUUUUUUUUUUUUUGGUAUGCGGGCCUCCCUCUGCUGUGGCCUCUCCCGUCGCAGAGCACAGGCUCCGGACGCGCAGGCCCAGCGGCCACGGCCCACGGGCCCAGCCGCUCCGUGGCAUGUGGGAUCCUCCCAGACCGGGGCGCGAACCCGGUUCCCCUGCAUCGGCAGGCGGACGCGCAACCACUGCACCACCAGGGAAGCCCUGCAUGUACUUUUAUAAUUUCUUCUUUGGGGAGGCCCGGGCCUCGAGACAUUCCUGGGCAGAUCGGAGCCCAGGAGAAUGCAGGGUCUCCCCGGUUUGUGUGGGGGGCGGGUUCCGUAGAGCCCAGCUGCACAUGUCCAGCGCAAGGAAGGGUAGCUUCGGGGGCACUUGUGUCCAGGGCAACAGUGUUGGGCUGGCCGGGAUGCCCCGCCUGGCCUGAGAAGCUGGCACUGUUUAGGGGCGCUGGAUUUUAAAACGGAAGGAGCCUCGGUCCACGCACUGAGACCCAGUGAGCUGGCCGUUUUGCAUAGCCGCCUGCAGUGGAUCGAGGUCUUCCCCCCUGCUGUGACCCUAGAGCCUGCUUUCUCUCUCCCAGAUGGUCUCUACUCCUCUCUCACCUCCUGGGUUUCCACCAUGCUCAGCAGGUGCCCCACCCACGGAUACUUCUGCUGAGCCAAGGCUUUUAUGGGUGGAGGUGGGGGUCCCGGGGGACUGUCAAGCAGAAAUACCAAUUGGUGACAUGCCCCCCUUAACACCAUCCCACAUGUCACCGGAUCCCACAGCAUCGUCCUCUCUGGCAGAGGCUGGGCAGGUGGCCAGCCUGUGGAUGGGUGGACAGGCAGUAAGCAGGACUGUACGUGCUCCCGUGGUCCAUCCCGGGUCCUGUCAGCCUCCCAGUCAGCAGAGGAAGUUCAUCCUCUAGGUAUUUCUAAGGUCUCCCCCCAGGUGCCAACGCAGAAGCUCUUGUCACGCGAGAAGGUGGCCCUUGGUGGGACCCUGACGGCCACGCUCCUCCUCGGCCAGCCGAGCCCCCGGCUCCUUGGGCUCCUGCGGUCCUCACUGUGCUGCCAUCCCAGCUUCCAGAGACGGUGUUUAAGGCGCUGAGUUUGCUCAGCAUUCUUCUGCCCAGGGGAAGGGACGGCUCCAAGAUGGAGGACCGAGGCUAAGGAGAUCAGGAGACUUCCUGAAGGACGCACGUCUAGGAUGCAGCAGAGCUGGGGUGUAGAUCUGCAGCUUCUGACUCCCAAGAGCCUGUGACAUCGCAGAAAAGCAGCCUUGGGUCUUGAAUGAGUUUGGGGCCUGUCCCUGAUGGCCUGGCCUCUGCAGCGAUGUCUGCAGGUAGGAAUGGGUGAUAACACCACCCCCUGGGUACGGAGAGAUGUGAUGACCAUCUGUUGGCUUUCCCGACCCAAGGUCCACAGCCCUUCUUUUUUUCCUUCAGGGGAUGACUUCUCCCCACCUCCUGGGAUUCACAUGGGGCCACUCCCCAUCCACUGGCUUUAGAGGCAGGUAUGUGUCCCAAGCUGGACACUGAGACUCCCUCUUGGGACUUUUGCAGCAACUCUGGGAAAAGAGGCAUUCACUUUUCAUGGGAGUUGCCACAUUGAUGGAACUCCUGCUCUCCACUUGAGGACGGAGCCAAGUGGUAGAGAAAGUAUGCUGUCCCCAGACCUCAGCAAGCCCCUGGAUCCAGCCAUGCCUGAAGCGAACCACACCUCUGGACUAACCUGAUUAUAUGGGCCAAUGAAUGCAUUUCUUUUUCUCUAAAACUAUCCUGAGUUGGAUUUCUGUCAUAGAAAGAGUCCUAAUAAAGCUAUGUUUUUCUUUGGUCUCACUUACUUAAGAAAUCCACUUUGAGGUAUCCACCCACUUUAAGUGUCUAAUUCAUAAAGUUUUUCAAAUGUGUACACCCUUGUAACUACCACCACAGUCGAGCUAUAGAACAUUUCAAGUUCCCUCAUUCCCCUUUAUGGUCAAUUCUCCUGACCCCAAGCAACCACUGACCUGCCUUUGUUCUAGAGAGUCAUUCAGUCUUCUCUCUGGUCAAGUCCCUGGAGGUCAAGGAGAGCGUUUCUCUGAUGCUCCUGUUGUGGGUCAUUUCCCUUGGGACUCAGAGUCACCCCUGGGUCCGAAUGUGCUGAAGCCAGAGGCACCUCUGGGUCCCACAGUUCUGUGGUCCAGGACAUCCUUUGCUUCAUUUGAGCCAGCUUGCCACGGAAGGAGUCCUGGCUGAUACAGCUCGGCCAGGACUGCACCCUUCAGUGAAGCUCCCCUCAAGGACCGCCCCCCACCCCAGGCAAAAUCAGCCAUCAGUCCAGCUCACCUCCUGGGGGCCAGACACUAGUAAGUGCUUUACGUGCAUUAUCUCAAGUCCUCUCAGCAACCCUAGGGGAGUUACUGUUAUCCCCAUUUUACUGGGAUGUGGGUCUUGUGUGCCUCUACAGCUCCUCUGUCCACCAGACUCCUGGCUGCUUGCUCUGCCUCAGCCAUGGCUGUCUCACAAGUGAAGCUGACCCCUCCCUCCCCGACCACAUCCCAGGGUAAGGGGGCUGGCUCCCCAGUGGCCGCCAAAGGGGCUGCAGAGUGGGAGCCGUGCAGGGGAGGGAGGGAUGAACUUGGAGCGGUAGUGUAAGCAGCUUUUGGCAGGAAAGAGCUCUCUGCAGGAGGCCCUUUUGUCUUGCCAGUAACCUAGCACACCUUUCAGAUUUUUUUUUUUUUAACAUCUUUAUUGGAGUAUAAUUGCUUUACAAUGGUGUGUUAGUUUCUGCUUUAUAACCAAGUGAAUCAGUUAUACAUAUACAUAUGUUCCCAUAGCUCUUCCCUCUUGCGUCUCCCUCCCUCCCACCCUCCCUAUCCCACCCCUCUAGGCGGUCACAAAGCACCGAGCUGAUCUCCCUGUGCUAUGCGGCUGCU